UCACUUUCAACAACGGAUCUCUUGGCUCUCGCAUCGAUGAAGAACGUAGCGAAGUGCGAUAAGUAAUGUGAAUUGCAGAAUUCCGUGAGUCAUCGAAUCUUUGAACGCAAAUUGCACUCCCUGGCAUUCCGGGGAGUAUGCCUGUUUGAGGGUCAGU
rnacentral:rRNA from 1 species